CCUACGGGUGGCAGCAGUGAGGAAUAUUGGUCAAUGGGCGCGAGCCUGAACCAGCCAAGCAGCGUGAAGGAUGACUGCCCUACGGGUUGUAAACUUCUUUUAUAAAGGAAUAAAGUGAGGCACGUGUGCGUUGGUGUAUGUACUUUAUGAAUAAGGAUCGGCUAACUCCGUGCCAGCAGCCGCGGUAAGACGGAGGAUCCGAGCGUUAUCCGGAUUUAUUGGGGUUAAAGGGAGCGUAGCUGGGUUGUUAAGUCAGUGGUGAAAGUUUUCGGCUCAACCGUAAAAAUGCCAUUGUUACUGGCAGCCUUGAGUACAGUUGCGGUAGGCGUCAUUCGUGGUGUAGCCGUGA
rnacentral:rRNA from 1 species